ACGCUCGACACCUACGGGUGGCAGCAGUCGGGAAUAUUGCGCAAUGGAGGAAACUCUGACGCAGUGACGCCGCGUGCAGGAAGAAGGUUUUCGGAUUGUAAACUGCUUUAGACAGGGAAGAAAAAGGACAGUACCUGUAGAAUAAGCUCCGGCUAACUACGUGCCAGCAGCCGUGGUAAUCUGAGCGGGCUGGCAAGGC
rnacentral:rRNA from 1 species